rnacentral:rRNA from 1 species
AGCCAAUAGAUACCCCGGUAGUCCACGCCCUAAACGAUGUCUACUAGUUGUUGGUGGAGUAAAAUCCAUGAGUAAACGCAGCUAAACGCGUGAAGUAGACCGCCUGGGGAGUACGGUCGCAAGAUUAAAACUCAAAGGAAUUGACGGGGGCCCGGCACAAGCGGUGGAUUAUGUGGAUUAAAUUCGAUGCAACGCGAAAAACCUUACCUGGCCUUGACAUGCCACUAACGAAGCAGAGAUGCAUUAGGUGCCCGUAAGGGAAAGUGGACACAGGUGCUGCAUGGCUGUCGUCAGCUCGUGUCGUGAGAUGUUGGGUUAAAGUCCCGCAACGAGCGCAACCCUUGCCAUUAAUUGCCAUCAUUUAGUUGGGCACUUUAAUGGGACUGCCGGUGACAAACCGGAGGAAGGUGGGGAUGACGUCAAGUCCUCAUGGCCCUUAUGGCCA